CUCGUAGGUGGCCAACUAAGUCAGACGUGAAAUCCCCAGGCUCAACCUGGGAACUGCGUCUGAUACUGGAUGGCUUGAAUUCGGGAGAGGGAUGCAGAAUUCCAGGUGUAGCGGUGAAAUGCGUAGAUAUCUGGAGGAAUACCGGUGGCGAAGGCGGCAUCCUGGACCGAGAUUGACACUGAGGAGCGAAAGCCAGGGGAGCAAACG
rnacentral:rRNA from 1 species